UACGUAGGGUGCAAGCGUUGUCCGGAAUUAUUGGGCGUAAAGAGCUCGUAGGCGGUCUGUCGCGUCUGCUGUGAAAACUCAGGGCUUAACCCUAAGCUUGCAGUGGGUACGGGCAGACUAGAGUGCGGUAGGGGAGACUGGAAUUCCUGGUGUAGCGGUGAAAUGCGCAGAUAUCAGGAGGAACACCGGUGGCGAAGGCGGGUCUCUGGGCCGUAACUGACGCUGAGGAGCGAAAGCAUGGGGAGCGAACAGG
rnacentral:rRNA from 1 species